CAUAGAGGGCAGUGGCCAUAACGUGAUAGAAUUAACACUGCAGUUUGAGAAGGAGAAGCUGGAAUCAGGUGCAAGGUAUUAUAACUGAUUAAAAGGUAACCACAAGACUGGAGGGAGGAGCUGGCUAGAGUUGAUUGGAAGGAGAACCUACCAGGGAAGGCAAUGCAUCAGCAAUGGCAGGAGUUUCUGGGGUAAUUCAGGAGGCAAGCAGAAAUUAAUCUCAAGGAAGAAGGAACUACUAAGGACAAGGCAACCGUGGCUGACAAGUUUGACUUCAAGGUCAACAGGGGUUGAAACAACUGACUUAGUGAGAACAAGGACAUUUUCCAGACCAAUAACCACAACCAGCCUCCUAACUGUUUAAAUGGAGCCGAACGCAACUUGGAAGAACAGCACGCCAUGUUUUGACCAGGCACUUUUUGCUUUUUGUCUUUUGCAU